GAGGGGAGGCCCGCCCCCCUUGGAAUCCCGCGGCUCCCGCCCGCCCCUCCGAACCGAACCUAGGCCUGCGGCCAACGGCCCGGCUCGUCCUGCCUCCUCCGACCGCGUCCGAGGCCGCGCGAGAGCCAAGGUGCUGGCGCCUCGGGAGGAGGCUUGCACGUCGCUCUCGGUAGCAGGAGUCUCGGGCGCCACCCUGGGAGAAGGAGCGGCCCCUCUGAGACCCGGGGCGCUGCGUCCUGUGCACCUCUUCCAGGUCCGGCGCUAGCUCGUGCAGACCUGAGCGCCGGGGCCCGGAGGCGUCCCCGCUGCCGCGGGCUCGCGGUCUCCUUGGACACCCGGUCCAUGGUGCCCAGACCGUAGCCCGGCAGAAAAAGCUGUGGCGGCGCUCCGUGCAUUGGUUAUUUUGUGUGAGGUCUGUCUGCCCUGACAAGCCUUGCUUGUGUGUCUUCGUUGUCUCGGGGAUGCCAGCUUGGCGGGUAUAAGCGGCGGUUUAGAGAUGGAGUCCGCGAAUGGGAAGGAUACACUAGUAAGUGUUUCUCUUUUGGAUGUCUGCCGGCAGAGUAGGAUUUGUCUUCAAGAAUGUUAAGGGAGGCAGCAGCAGCAGCACAGCCAGGUGCGCCACUUUGGUUCUCGGCUUGCUCUGUGGGCACAGGACGGCGCCGGGGACACGUCGGAGGUGAUGGACGUGCAGACGGGCUCGGUGGUCGAGAACUGCCGGCAGCUGGGGGACGUGGAGCUGCAGUGUGGCAUCUGUGCGAAAUGGCUCACGGCGGAGACCUCCGGCAUCGACGCUUCGCUUUGAUCAAGUUCAAGAGUUACUAUUUUGAGGAGAAAGACUUCGUGGAUAAAUAGAGAAGAGCCUAAAGCAGACUCUCCAUAGUGAGUAUCAUCCAGCUUGAAGAAGAAGAUUCUCAUGAGGGCCUAUUUGGGUUUCUUUGUUCAUUUGUUUCUAAAGCUGAUUGAAAAGUCAAUGCAUGAGGAUUUCUUAGUGGUUUUAGUCAGCAGCCGCCACUGAGGAAGGCAAUGUCAGGAAGUCUUUGGCUUCCAGAAGGAGAUCAGCACAGGCGUGUUUUAUUUGCCCAGUUCCCACUGGACCUGAGGACGUUGACCACUGUUAGCAGUGGUGUAUACUUCGUUCUAGUUAUGUCUUGUGUGUCAUUGCAAAUGAAGAUUGAGUGUCAUUGCAAAUGAAGAUUCAGUGUCAGCUUAACUUUUUCCAUAGCCUCUUUUUUUUUUUUUUUCAUGU